GGCUAAAUCCUGCUUGAAAUCUUUCAACAGUUUAAUGUCUUCUGCAGACAGAUCACUUAUAUUCACAGUCUCUGAUUUUUGUUGCUUUUCUUUAAAUAUUUUCAGCUGUUCAUGAAAAUUUGAAAAGAACUUGUCUGACAGGCUGAGCACUGCAGUGAUGGCUUCUCCUGCCAGUGUGACCAUGUGGACACCUUGUAUAACUGUCAGAAUUGCUUUUGCUUUUCCUCCAGUGUGUGAUUUAGCUUUUUCAAUCACUGUGAAGAGGGAUGAAUUCAGUUUGUUCUGCCAGCUGAGGUCUGCAUAGAAUGGCUGUAUUGCAGUUUUGCUUAACUCUGUGAAAACGGCCAGCAGCUCUUUCUUUCUUCUCUCGUUGUUUAGGUCAUGAAGUUGUUUUUUGUCCUCAAGUUGUGAAAGAAUAAUGAAGUCUACUAAUGAAGAUGGAGGCUCUUUUUCUAUUUUUAAUUUCACUUCGUGAUCAGUUGUCUCUUUCACUAUGCUUUUGAUUCCUUCUAAUAUUUUUUCAAGUAUUUUAUCUUCUAUCUUUCCCACUCCAAAGGUGAUGAGUUCUUCUGCAAUUUGUUUAGCUGUGUAUUUUACGGCAUUCUUCAUAUUUGCCUUUAAAACAACACUGAGGCCAUCUUUAGCUUGUCUAGAGAGAAAUUUUGGCAUUGACUUAAGCUGUUUGCCAAAUUUAAGUAAGGUUUUAAAACAUUUGAAGCCCUUUGAUAUCAGCUUUCCAACUCCGAACCCAAUGAGAGAGACACCAAUAGAAAUGGCUUUGUCUAUAGCCCAUGACUUCCAGCUGAAUUCUCCUGUCCUCAUGGCCUCAAUGCCAGUGAUGCAGUCUGAUAUUCCCUCAGUAAUGAGUCCCAUUCCAACUAGAGCAAAUGUGCCAAAUGUAAAUACAGUGAGCAGUGCUCCUCCAACAAUCUUUAAAACGCCAAGAAAGAACACCAGAAGACCUUCCCAUGAGAAACGAGGCUUUUCUUUCACAGAAAACACAUAUUUCAGACCUCGUCUGUAGAGAUUGUAAACUUCAUCUUGGAGAUCUUCAUCAGUAUCUGAAAAUAGUGAGAACAUGGGAGAUUUUUGGGUAAUUGGAUUCCUGCCUUUCUCUCUUAUUUCUUCUAACUUUUGGAUGGCCUCAGUAAUGUUUUUAUCAAAGUAACUAUACAUUGUAGACCUGGUUGAUAACUGUUUUUCCAGGCUGGUUGGGUUGCUGUUGGCUGAGUCUGCAGAGGACAUUUUUACAAACUGAAGACAGACUAUUAGUUCCUCAUUGAGAAACUUCAGAGAUUCCUGUGCCUUCAUUAGAUCAUCUAUGGCCUUAGUGAGAGUCUUUUGGAAAUCCUGACAAAAUCUCUCAGGAGCAGCAGAUUCAAGGAGCUGGAUUAGAGAGCGCCCACAGUCAUCUAUCCAGUCUGGUGGUAUGUCAUACACUUGUACCAAGGUAAGGAUUUCAGUUAUGGAAUCAUCAUCUGCAUAUUUCUGUGACAGUGCUUUAAGCAGUGUGACUGCUUCCAUUGGAGUCCAUUGGUUUCUUUGUACAAGUUUGAGGAGCAUUUCAGUGGAUUCUGAGUGGGCUUCUUUUCCAUUUAGAUCUGUGAGUGUGGAUAAGAGAAGCUUUAAACAUUGGAUUUCCAUCUUUAAAGUGAACACAGAGGCUCUUCCAACUGCACUUUGCAGUGAUGAUGUGAGGGUGCUCAGGAAUUCAAUUAUAAAGAGGUUCUCAGUGGAAAUCUCAUAUUCUGCCCAUUGUUUGGCUAUGAGGACAGCAUCAUUAUUAAAUCUGCUAUCGUCACGGAAAAAGUGCAUCAGGUUCAGAUACAGGGCUUGAGUCAAGAGGAAACUCUCAAAAACACCACAUGCUGAUUGGCUGAUGGAUCCCAAAUAGGACUGCAUAUGAUUGCAGAUGGUUUGUAGGGAAACUCCUUCAGAUAUUUCCAGACACAGAGCACAGAGCUCUGUGAUGAACACCUGAGUGUGCUGCAGAGUGCUGAUGGAUGGAGCAGCACGAAUCCACUCAUCAAACAGAAGUUUGUCCAGGACUGAAAGGAUCUCACUGAGCUGAUCAGCUGUGAGCUGACUCAGACUGAUAUUUGAAUGUGGAAGACUGCAUUUCACUGAGAGGAUUUCAAGAAGCUCAUCGCUGUCACUACCUGAUUCAUAGAUAGCUUCAAACUCAUCCAGAUGCUCUAUUAGAACAUCUCGCUUAGACUCACAUUCAUCUGAGAUGUGGCCACUCUGUUGUUUCUCAAGCUGCUCUUUAGCUUGUUGGUGAGAUUCUUUUAGUCUUUGAUUCAGUUUUUCUUUCUGUUGCUCCUCUUCUCUUCUCUUCUCCUCCUCUAUUCUCUUCCUUUCCUCUUCUCUUCUCUUCUCCUCCUCUCUUCUUCUCUCCUCUUCUCUUCUCCUCUCCUCCUCCCUUCUCUUCCUUUCCUCUUCUCUUCUCCUCUGCUCCUCUCUUCUCUUCCUCUCCUCUUCUCUUGUCAUUUCCUCUUGAUCUCUGAUUGGCUUGUUAAAGCAAUAUUCACAUUCAUACAAUUCAUUGUCACCAACUGGUCUGUAGUAUUCACCUCCAUUGAACACAUGCAUGUGUCGCCCAUAAAUAGUACUUUGGUAUAAGUCUUCAAAUGAUUUGCAUGGAGGCAAGACUUUAAAACAUUUGCAGCAUCUCAGGCGGCUUCCCAUGUUACUCUCCUUUGGUAAUUGAUUACCCAUUUGUGAUGGUUUGGUGUUUGUUUACUAGAAGAAAAAAAGAAAAGAAAGAACAACUUAAUGAUCACAGACUACCCCAAGUCAGUGCCAGAGCAUUUAGGCAAAAAGUCACUCAAGUGCUGCUUUAGGUCAUCUCCCAAGUCAGGAUCCUGGGAUCAUUUGGGAUAGAAGGCAGAGGCAGUGAUACAGGAAACAGAAACGAGCCUGCCAAGGUGGUGAGGGUAAAGAAAACACUCCACAAACCUAUGCUGCCUAGCCUUUUCCUCACAAACGCCAGACUAUUAUGAACAAAAUGGAUGAGCUGAGGGUACAGCUGGAAGAUAAUAGACUCACUGGGGACUGCUGCAGAGUUUUGGAUUUACCCAGCAAAACCCAAUGCAGUUGUCAAGACAGAAACCAGAACUCAUAGAAACAACAACAAGGUGGGGGUCUUUGCCUUUAUAUUAAUGAAAAAUGGGCAAAUAAUACUACGACUGUGGACAAUCACU
ensembl:lncRNA